rnacentral:rRNA from 1 species
AAUAUUGCUCAUUGGUGGGAACUCUGACGCAGCGACGCCGUGGGAGGGAUUAAGGUCUUCGGUUCGUAAAGCACUGUCUUUGGGGAAGAAGGUCUCGGGACUACACGGUACCUAAUGUUGAAGCCCCGGCUAUCUUCAUGCGCGCAGCCGCGGUAAUCAGUAGGGGGCAAGCGUUGCCCGGAAUUAUUGGGCGUAAAGGGUGCGUAGGCGGACUUUUAAGUCAGAUGUGAAAGCCCACGGCUUAACCGUGGGACUGCAUUUGAAACUGGAGGGCUUGAGUAUCGGAGAGGGUAGUGGAAUUCCCAGUGUAGCGGUGGAAUGCGUAGAUAUUGGGAGGAACACCAGUGGCGAAGGCGACUACCUGGACGAAAACUGACGCUGAGGCACGAAAGCUAGGGGAGCAAACA